UUGAGCCGUAUGCGGGGUAACUCGCACGUGCGGUUCUUAUGGAGGGUAGAGCUAGUAGGAUCCAUCCCAUCCCAAU
rnacentral:ncRNA from 1 species